GAGCAAGCAGUACCCACUGUGGGGCGGGACGUUGAGAGCUCCAGGAGGAAGGUGAGAAAACCAAGGCUGAGAAGGGUCCUUGCAGAUGAGGUCCUAGUGGAAUAGAGGAGAUCCCUAAUCUAAUAUGACUGGUGUCCUUAUAAGAAACUCCACACGAAGAGACAGACAUGCUCCGGGGAGAAUGCCAUGUCAAGAUCGGAGCUACGCUGCCAAAGCCAAGAAGCUACCAGAAACUAGGAGAAAGGCCUGGAACAGAUACUUCCCUCAUCUUCAAGGGAAAUAAGGCCCAGACAACACGUUGAUUUUGAACUUCUAGCCACCGGAACUGUGAGACAUUCAAUUCCACUUGUUUAAGCCACCCAGUGACAAGAGCAC
rnacentral:lncRNA from 1 species